CUAACAUGUAAACUCACUGAGCAGGGCCCUCAAUCCCUCUGUUACUGUGUCACUAUACCCUACUCCCUCUAACAUGUAAACUCACUGAGCAGGGCCCUCAAUCCCUCUGUUACUGUGUCACUAUACCCCACUCCCUCUAACAUGUAAACUCACUGAGCAGGCCCUCAAUCCCUCUGUUACUGUGUCACUAUACCCCACUCCCUCCAACAUGUAAGCUCACUGAGCAGGGCCCUCAAUCCCUCUGUUACUGUGUCACUAUACCCCACUCCCUCUAACAUGUAAACUCACUGAGCAGGCCCUCAAUCCUCUGUUACUGUGUCACUAUACCCCACUCCCUCUAACAUGUAAACUCACUGAGCAGGGCCCUCAAUCCCUCUGUUACUGUAUCACUAUACCCCACUCCCUCUAACAUG